CACCAUCGCACCUUCCGAAAAUGAAGCGGAUUACUGUAUGGAAUGGAAGGAUGCCAGAUGGAAGGAAAAACUCCUUCAGGAUUGGUGCAGCUACUACUGCAGCUCCGAAAUUGCCUUCUGCUACUCUGAAGGAAAUGGGACGGUGGUCAUCAUCAGCCUACGAAGGUGCUGUGUUUUGACUGAGGAGGGGUUUUUCUUCUUUACCAUGUAUUGUCAGUGUCAACAACUAUCGUGGUCCAUUAAACAAUUAUU